rnacentral:rRNA from 1 species
UACGGAGGGUGCAAGCGUUAAUCGGAAUUACUGGGCGUAAAGCGCACGCAGGCGGUUUGUUAAGUCAGAUGUGAAAUCCCCGGGCUCAACCUGGGAACUGCAUCUGAUACUGGCAAGCUUGAGUCUCGUAGAGGGGGGUAGAAUUCCAGGUGUAGCGGUGAAAUGCGUAGAGAUCUGGAGGAAUACCGGUGGCGAAGGCGGCCCCCUGGACGAAGACUGACGCUCAGGUG